rnacentral:lncRNA from 1 species
UUCUUCCAUAGUUGUUCUCUUCUCCUCCUAGAAAUGUAAGGUUUACAUCUAUAGAUUUAAAAUAUGUGUUCUAGUAUUUAUAUUCAAAUAAAGUUACAUAUUAAAAUUCAUAUCAAUAUGUCUUUAAUUUAUAACUAUUUUGUCUAUUAAAUUAUAUUUUUAAAACUUUUUUAGAUUUAAACUUAUUUCAUAUUUUUAAUGUAUUUAUUUUUCAGAACUAUUUUUUUUUUGAUAGAGUAGACUUCAUUUGAAAUCUACUUAAAACUUACGGCUGGUAGACUUCAAAAAUGAAGUCUACUAGCCUUGACUUUUAAGCAUAUUUCAUUAGAAGUUUACUCAAAUCUGAUUUUAAUUUUUAUCUUAUUUUUUAUAAUUUUAUUUUAUUUUACAGGUAUUCUCUUCCAAUGUUUU